UGAAACAUUUUUGAAUAUUGAAAUAUAAAAAAAACAUAAAAACUGGUGAAGCAAUAACUUUAAAUGUUGUUUCUCUUUAUAGAGCAACUCGGUUUGUGCUAUAGUUUUACUGGGCUAAACUUUAUUUUAAUGUGAAUAAAAUAAUAUAUAUUUUUAUUGCAAUUAAUGUCACCUGUGUCAUAGUGAUUCGUCGAACUCAUGUUUCACGCGGCAAUUGCGUUGACGUGUCUCGGAGCCAACUCAACAAGCUUUGAGGUCGACAAAACAGGGACGUCCCACAGGAAAUAAGAAGACGUGUCUGAUGGUGUGGUCUUAAGCAGCUUCGCGUAACACCUUUUAUUAUUAUCGUAUUAUAUUGUCUCGGAAAUAUUAUCCCUUCGAGUCUCUCCGAGGUUGUAUCGUGACGAAUUAUGUUGAUGAAAUUCUGGUGCAGCUUUUCUCCCCGAUAUUGGUUGUGCUGUGAAAAUGUGCUAAGAAAAAUAGAGAGAAUUCUGUUUCAAUUGAGUCUUGAGCGGUAAAUAGCAUCUCAUAUAUUCCCUAUGCAUUUCUGACACCCGUGUGUGAUGGUAUAAUUAAUUUAUACAACUAACUGCAUAUCAUUAAUUAAUUAUAGCCGCUUCCAUGGUAUGGGCCGUAAACUCUGUCUGUCUCCGAUGACGGUGUAAUAAACGUAAACAUUAUCACAAAUUUCAAAUAUGGCAUAUACCUAAACCUUUUCAAGCACCAGUUAUAUACCUCUUCACAGAAAACAAAUUGACGUCUACAGGCCGGCUUGAUUUUAUUUGAGGUAUUUCACACGAAACUCUUAAGCCACAGUGAUCGAAUAGAUGUGAUGAAUGUCAUUAUGGCUGCACAUGGUUGUUUAAUUCCCAAUAUAUAUAAAAUCUAUAAACCUCCAAUUAAUAUUAUACACUUAUUGCUAUAAUUUCAAGUAAGACUUCAAUAUGUAGUAGCUCUGUAAAAACUCAGGUUUUUUUUUAAUUACAUUUAUUAAAGUAAUUUAAUAAGUUAGAUUACAGAUUAGUAAAUCUACUCCGGACAUUAAUCUGUAAAAACAAGGAAACUAUAUUUAAACUAUAUUUUUAUUUUCAAUUAGCUCACAAUACUGAAUAUAAAUUAAUUUCAUAAGUUCAUAUUAUUUUAUAUCUGUUA